CAAAAUAAUGCCAGAGUUAGCCCACCUGCCCUGGGUUUCACGCAGCUGUAUGCAGGGCAGGAGGAGCCCUUGCCCUGGCCCUUCAUUGUUCAUGCUGCUGCCCCUAGGGAAAGCUGUAAAUGAGAAGAUUUGAUACACGUCCCUGAGAUGUUUCCCUGACUUGUCAUUGUGAUGAAAGGAACCCAAUAUCCCCUCCACUUUCCAGUACAACACUGCAGAAACAAGGAAUGACAGAGGAAGAGCAAGAACCAUCUUAACUGGGCGCCUGACUCAUCCUCGAAUCUCUCAAGCAAUGCUUAGUUUAUGAAGCUAUCACAAAGAGAAUGAUACACUUGAACAAGAGUUGAGAGCCUUGUAAAGAUAUUUUACUGCCUGAAACAAAGAAAAAUAUAUUUCUCCUCCUCCAACAAUGUGCCGCAUUGUCUUCAAUAUGAAGACAGUAUGGAAGCAAAAGAGACAAUGCACACAAUCAAUAAAUAUUUUGUUCCUUUUUCCAGCUAUUAUGUCACUGCUAAAAGGAUCU